rnacentral:rRNA from 1 species
UAGCGUAUAUUAAAGUUGUUGCAGUUAGAACGCUCGUAGUCGGAUUUCGGGGCGUUCCGACCGGUCUGCCGAUGGGUAUGCACUGGCCGGAGUGUCCUUUUUGCCGGAGACCGUGCCUACUCUUAACUGAGCGGGGGCGGGAGACGGCACUUUUACUUUGAAAAAAUCAGAGUGUUUCAAGCAGGCAGCUCGCUCUUGCAUGGAUUAGCAUGGGAUAAUGAAAUAGGACUUUGGUGCUAUUUUGUUGGUUUCGAACACCGAAGUAAUGAUGAGAAGGGACAGUCAGGGGCACUCGUAUUCCGCAGAGAGAGGUGAAAUUCUCAGACCCGCGGAAGACGAACCACUGCGAAAGCAUUUGCCAGGGAUGCUUUCACUGAUCAAGAACGAAAGUUAGGGGAUCGAAGAUGAUCAGAUACCGUCGUAGUCUUAACCAUAAACCAUGCCGACUAGGGAUUGGAGGAUGUUCACUGAUUGACUCCUUCAGCACCUUACGGGAAACUAAAGUCUUUGGGUUCCGGGGGGAGUAUGGUCGCAAGGCUGAAACUUAAAG